UACGUAGGAGGCAAGCGUUGUCCGGAAUUACUGGGCGUAAAGCGCGUGUAGGUGGUGGGACAAGUCUGCUGUGAAAGCGCCUGGCUUAACCGGGCGAGGUCGGCGGAAACUGUCGCACUCGAGGACGGUAGAGGGGGGUGGAAUUCCCGGUGUAGUGGUGAAAUGCGUAGAGAUCGGGAGGAACACCUGUGGCGAAGGCGGCCCCCUGGGCCGGCCCGUGACACUGAGACGCGAAGGCGUGGGGAGCGAACGGG
rnacentral:rRNA from 1 species